CAGCCGCCACGGGAAUACGAAGGGGGCUAGCGUUGUUCGGAAUUACUGGGCGUAAAGCGCACGUAGGCGGAUAUUUAAGUCAGGGGUGAAAUCCCAGAGCUCAACUCUGGAACUGCCUUUGAUACUGGGUAUCUUGAGUAUGGAAGAGGUGAGUGGAAUUCCGAGUGUAGAGGUGAAAUUCGUAGAUAUUCGGAGGAACACCAGUGGCGAAGGCGGCUCACAGGUCCAUCACUGACGCUGAGGUGCGAAAGCGUGGGGAGCAAACAGGAUUAGAUACCCCAGUAGUCCCUGUCUCUUAUAC
rnacentral:rRNA from 1 species